UGUUCCUGCGCAUAGCUCAGGAGGAGCAGAUAGGAAGAAGCAAACCAAGCUUCAGCUGUUCGAAACCUCUUACUGACUGGCACCAUGUGCACGCAUGGUGAAAUCCUGUUAUCAUGCACAACAUGGUAGCCUGGAAGCUAAAUAAAACUCACUUGACAACCCGUUGUUAAAUAUUGAUUUUCAUUUAAUACAUAGAAUUCUAAAAUGAAAACUCGGUCCGAUUGGGAUUGCUCCUGCUUCCUUCACUCCUGCUGGCUGAAAUACACCAGUUGUGUGUGUCACAGUGUUUAGGUUCGGGGUGAAAGCUACAAGGACAUUUCGGUGUUAGCUGGCAUUCGCUCAAGCACACCAUUUGCAAUCAGAACUGAAACUGACGAGGAAAUACCAUGACAUUAAAGCACAUAAAACUGGAUCCACUUCUGAUGAAAGCGUUCAUUGGUACUGAGCCCAGUGUAAGCUCUGCUGUCCCACUGUGUUUAGCGCUGGACACCUGGCAACCCAAUGCUGAGCUGGCCAAAAUGCAUCAUUGCAAUAUCCACUAGGGCACUCCACACAGACCCAGCACCACCUCAGGGAACGCCUUCCCCAGCAAAGAACUCAAAGAGAAAACUGCAAUAAGUUCCUUCUCUUCGUGUGAAGCAGAAGGAUAGACGAAGACAGAGAGACUGGAAGAAGCAUGGAGGUUUGGUGACUGAUUCUUCAGAUCCUGAGCUAUCAUUUCACAAUCUGAUGUUUGCAGAUUUUGUCAAGGUUUCCCACUCUAUGAAUGGCAUGCUUCACCUCAAAGUUACCAUCCAUCAAUUAAGAGUCUUGAACGGUGACUGAAGGCAAAAUCGGAGAAUAGGAUUUUCCAGAACUGCCCUUGGUGCAUUGGAGCUAUAGAGGACUGCAGAGAUAAUGUCAAUUUCCAGACCCAAGUGGAGCAGGUAUUAAGGCUGUGCAGCUGUAUCUGUCUGGACAGAACUACACAUAUUCUCCCAUGCUGCAAUGACAUCACCAGCAUCUCUGGCAGUGACUGUGCAUGACGGAGACAGACCAGAGCACUGAGCAAGAGCAGGAGGGAGCUGUGUGCAAUGUGGUUAGCCAGAAUCUAAGUAAUAAUAGAGGAUCACAGGAAAGUACUGCUCCCAGCGCUUCCUGGAAUGGUGCUUAACAGCUGAUUCUUUUCUAAAUUUGCCUUUAAUCAUACUCAGCAUCAGGCUAGUGUUUCCUCUGCUGUCCCUAUUACCUGGAACAGAUGUUCCAGAGAGAAUGGACAGACUUCCUAAUUGUGAUCUGGCUGCCUGAAAGCUGCUGAAUGUUUGUAGAGACACAUGAAUAGAUUCACAUCUUGAAUAGUAAUGCGUGGUAGUGAGAAAUGGGUACACAGUUUUGACGUCGACCGAUGCCAAAAUGAGAAUUGGAUAAGUGAUGAAUCUCCCUGCUUACCCUCAUCUGCCUCACUGAAUUUAGGGUCUUCAAAGGCCUGAGAAAGCCAGGCCUUUGAGAAUCCCAUACUGGAAUGAAAGGUGGUCAUUAAAAAUAUGGCGUACUCUGCAUUUUACCAAUGAAGAACACUCCUAUGAACACAUCCUUUGGCAUGUGUUUGGGUAUUUGAUGUACCAGUCACUGCCCAACUGCAGGAGCACAGGUGACAGAACAGUGGGAACGUGUCCUGGAGACCAGCAUCUACAGAAGACAUCUUUUCUUGCAAUAUUUUCCAUGGAAAACAUAUUGACAUAAUAUUUUCAUACUAUCAUGUCUAAUAUCAAAUGCUGUUCUCAGACAUUCUUUGAAUUAAAGAAAAAAAGGUGAACUUCUAUUAAUACCAUAUGGAAUCAGGUUAGUACUGCAACUAAAACACUUGGUGAAGAAGGCAAAUCCUUCCAUCUUCUCCUGCUCAAAGCAAUAGCAAAAUAGACAUAAGCUGUGUGAUUACCACCUUGUGGGUGUGACAGCAUUCAGGGUCAUGUUGAAUUACAAAUUUGAAACACACAGCCACGUGCAAAGCCCACUCCACCAGCUUCUGUUGCAACAAAAGAGUAGCAACAGGGAAGAGAUUUCUUAAAUUACUCAUGAUUUAUUUUCUGGAGUAAAUUUACCCCAUAGUUAUAAGUAUAGAUUAAUUCCAAUGUAUUUAUUUACUUAUUUAUUUAUUUGUAUUAUGUUUUUGGAAGCAAACCCUGCGCAGCCAAAUGGAGGUUUACUUAACAACAAUUAAAGAGUGUGAUUCAGUGUUUCCAAAUUCUUAAGCGUGAUCCUGCCGGGCACAUCUUGGGAUUAAAAUAGAGGAGAGGAACUCACUGGUAGUUGCUCAUUUAUUCCUGUCCUCACUGCCAGGCAGAAGAAACAACGCUCAGGAAGUCCAAGACUUUUCCUCACCACUGGAUCACAUGGCGUUGGAGCUUCACUCCCCAGUCAUCUGACAUCAAUUGCAUAGCUCAUUAGCACAAUCUUUUUGCUCAGAAGAGCACAGGAACACAUUUUCCAGGCAGUUGGGUGUUCUGUUAAUAUUUAGGACUUUCACAGUCUAAGAUAAGUGAACUCGAAGUUUCUAGUCUACCAGGAUUUGUUAGAGAUCAACCUCUUGCUAGCAAGGUGUGGCCUUUUUUUUUUUUUGCAAAACAAAUUUUAUUUUAUGUUCAUCUUCAAUAUGUUUCCAAAUACCUGUGCCUAGCACUGAUAAUCAUAGAAUGGUUUGAGUUGGAAGGGACCCUUCAAGGCCAUCUGGUCCAACUCCCCUGCAAUGGACAGGGACACCUACAGCUGAUCAGGUGCUCAGAGCCCCAUCCAACUAAUAAUGCUGGAUUGUUGACAGCAUUAACAUUUUUAAUUGGUACCAUUAGGUUUCAGAGUGCACAGCUCAAUUGCCAUUACUUUCAACGGGUCUACCUGGCUGUUCAGCUUGUCCCAUGGUCCUAAGUGCCUCCAAACUGUAAAAGCAACAAAAACCAGAUGCAUUUCAGAAAACAGCCAAAUGGUCUGCAGAAGUUCUCAAUAUAGAAAUCCACAGGAUAAUGAAAUACCAAAACUAAUAUUAAGAUGUGGCUACAGUAUUAAAAAAAAGGAAAUACAAGGGCAGUAUACUUAAUAUAUCAUUCACCUAUCUGCUGCAAGAAUCUCUGUUUGAAAUAUAUAUUAAGCUGCUAUAUAAUUUCCUUCUUACAAGAACAGAUUGUGAGAUAACAUCUCACUUCUUCUGCAAAAUUUAUACUUCAUUCUGCUGCAGAGCAAAAAGAGCUGUAAUGCACGGCACACACAUUGUCAUGUUCCGGUCUGGAGAGCAAUCUUGAAAUCAUUAGUCAGUUUGCAAGCAUAAGGAACGUAACAGAAUCUGUGAGAUGCAUGUGCUAACAACUUUAACGCUUAUGACCAAUCUGUUUUUUUAUAACAGUUUGUGAAUAUCUUUUAAGUAAACUACAUCUAUUAAUCUA